rnacentral:rRNA from 1 species
GACGAACGCUGGCGGCGUGCCUAAUACAUGCAAGUCGAACGCUUCUUUCCUCCCGAGUGCUUGCACUCAAUUGGAAAGAGAAGUGGCGGACGGGUGAGUAACACGUGGGUAACCUACCCAUCAGAGGGGGAUAACACUUGGAAACAGGUGCUAAUACCGCAUAACAGUUUAUGCCGCAUGGCAUAAGAGUGAAAGGCGCUUUCGGGUGUCGUUGAUGGAUGGACCCGCGGUGCAUUAGCUAGUUGGUGAGGUAACGGCUCACCAAGGCCACGAUGCAUAGCCGACCUGAGAGGGUGAUCGGCCACACUGGGACUGAGACACGGCCCGGACUCCUACGGGAGGCAGCAGUAGGGAAUCUUCGGCAAUGGACGAAAGCCUGACCGAGCAACGCCGCGUGAGUGAAGAAGGUGUUCGGAUCGUAAAACUCUGUUGUUAGAGAAGAACAAGGACGUUAGUAACUGAACGUCCCCUGACGGUAUCUAACCAGAAAGCCACGGCUAACUACGUG